CUAAAACGGAAAGGGUUGUUGUGAUGUCUUAAGUUCCAUCUUUCUGUGCUGAAAUUGCAUAAUUCUGGCCAAACGAUAUUGUUAAAAUUCCCAAUACCAAAGUUAAGUGGAGUGCACAACUUCCUUUAGCAAUUUUGAAAAAAAAAGAAUUUGGAUCUCGAUAACCUGAAAACACCACUGAUCUUUAGGAAAGGUUCUUACAUCGACAUAACCAAAGAUCCAAAAGCAUCCUCAAUUAAACAUUCCCCUCUGGAUAAUCCUUGCGCCAAGGAAAGUAUUUCCUCCGAAAAAGUUUUUCAACAGCUUGUGAAAACCCUUACUUUUGGCAAAUGGAAGUCCUUAAAGGUUCAUUUUGUUUUAUUUAGUUAUUGUUACCGCCUUUAGCGGGCAAGAGGAAAACUUAUAUCCCGACAAGAAUUUUCAGUGGUUCUUAAAGCUCUGGACAAUCCGAGAACUUGAAGAAAACACUCAGAAGCUCCACCCAAACCAGAUCUAAAUGCUCUCAAAUCCACACCAACAUUUUUUAUUUUUAACUUGUUUUCUUCUUUCCAUAAGUUAGAACAACAUUGCUUUAAUGGCGCAGUCAAUCAGCAAUCCGAGUCUACGAUGGAUUCCAUCUUUCUGACCAAAUUCCUGAGCCAAAUUUCUGAGCCUCCGGAACCUCACCAAAGAGCCAUUGGAGUGAGCAAUUUCAUUUAGCGAUUACUGCGAAAACGAACUCGGAUAUCGAUAAACUGAAGACAUUUUCAAAUUCUAGAGAAAGGUUAUUACAGCGAAAAUACCCGAGAUCCAUAGGCGUGCUCGCAGUUAAACCUUCACCAAUUGAUAAAAUUUUCGCUACCGAAGUUUAUGUAUAGGAUUGCCAAGUCAUACUUCAAGAAACUAAACGAUAUUGGCCAAACGGUGAUAAGGCGUUCUCGAACUGGAUUAUUUGAAGUGCAUAUAUACAACUUCUUUAGACCACCAAAGCAUUGAACCAUUUGAAUAAAACGCCGCCAACCGCGCUGUUUGACUAAAUUCCGCGGCGCAAGAAUUUAUAUACUACCAGUUUAAAGUAGUUGUCGCCGUUGAUCAAUAUUUUCCUUACUUUUGCUUUAUCUACAAUAAAUUACACAGAAUGGCAGCUUCAGAUUCAAAUCAAAUUGGAAGUUCUCGGAAAAACAAUUUUCUUGGAAUUUGUUGCACAGUCCUUGCUUCAACUGUAGUUGCUUUCGCUUAUGUUUCCAUUCAAUAUUCUGAAAUGGGGGGCCAUUUUUCAACUUUGGUUAUGGGCGUUUUCGGAUUAGUUACAGGUAUCGCUUGGUUUUUAUUUUUCAAUCAACGAAAGUUAAAUUGGCAUUUGGUCGGAAAAAUUGUUUUAAAUGGAGCUAUUUUAUCUAGUUUAUCAAAUUAUUUACUUGUCCUUUCUUAUGAUUAUUUAACGGCUGGCGAUUCAACAUCUAUUCAUUAUUAUUCCAGUUUCGCUUUCGGUUUAGUGCUUGAAUUUUUUCUCCUCAGACUAAAACCUCAUUGGCUGACAAUUUGCUGCUCGCUGAUUGGCUUAACUGGACUCGUAUUUAUUAGCCAAUCAGAAACGAGAAUAGACACUCAGUUCAACUUCCACGGGUUAUUCGGGUUUAGUUUAAGUCUUAUAUCUGGGUUAAUAAAUGCCCUGUUUUAUAUUAUCAUGCGACAAUGGUCAUCUGUUAACACUGGUUUGUUAGUUUUCGCUUCACGAUUAGGUUGUUGUCUAAUGCCAUUGCCAUUUGUCAUCAAAACGAAUUUUGCAGUUCCAGUUUGCGACUUUAAAAACAAAACAUUCCUUCUUUUAGGCUGUGCUUGCUUUACAA